ACGGUUACCUUGUUACGACUUAGCCCCAGUCACCGGUUUUGCUCUAGGGCGCGCCUCGCGGCGACGCACUUCAAGCACCCCCGGCUCCCAUGGCUUGACGGGCGGUGUGUACAAGGCCCGGGAACGUAUUCACCGCGCCAUGGCUGAUGCGCGAUUACUAGCGAAUCCAGCUUCACGGAGUCGGGUUGCAGACUCCGAUCCGAACUGAGACCGGUUUUCGGGUUCCGCUCGGCGUCGCCGCCUGGCUUCCCGCUGUACCGGCCAUUGUAACACGUGUGUCGCCCCGGACGUAAGGGCCGUGCUGAUUUGACGUCAUCCCCGCCUUCCUCGCGGCUUGCGCCGGCAGUCCCGACAGAGUCCUCGGCUCUACCCGUUAGCAACUGUCGGCAGGGGUUGCGCUCGUUAUGGCACUUAAGCCGACACCUCACGGCACGAGCUGACGACAACCAUGCAGCACCUCGGAAAACGUCCGUGGAAGAGGG
rnacentral:rRNA from 1 species